CGCCAUCGAAUGAGGCAAGACUACCCGCUGAACUUAAGCAUAUCACUAAGCGGAGGAGAAGAAACUAACCAGGAUGCCCCUAGUAAUGGCGAAUGAAGCGGGCUGAGCUCACGCUGCCAAUCUGGAGGCCUCGCGUAUGCAGCGCCCCCCGAAUUGUGGUCUAGAGAGGCGUUAUCGGCCGCGCCCGCCGCUCAAGUCCCUUGGAACAGGGUGUCGGAGAGGGUGAGAAUCCCGUACCGUGGCGGGUUGCGGCCUUACGAUGCGUCCUCGUCGAGUCGGGUUGCUUGGGAUUGCAGCUUGAAUUGGGUGGUAAAUUCCAUCUAAAGCUAAAUACUGGCGAGAGACCGAUAGCGAACAAGUACCGUGAGGGAAAGAUGCAAAGAACUUUGAAAAGAGAGUCAAAGAGUGCUUGAAAUCGGUAGGAGGAAACCCGGAUGGGCCCGGCUUCGGCGCGCCGACUCAGCCUGGGGUUCUCCCCAGGUGCACUUCUGCGCGCCGGGUCAGCCGCGCCUCGGCGCCGCGCCUCAACCCGGGAGCGGGGCUUUACGGCCAGCUCCCGUCCUGGCGCGGCCCGGGGCCCGGCUGACGGAACGGGCCCCUCCGACCCGUCUAGAAACACGGACCAAGGAGUCUGACACGUGUGCGAGUACCCGGGUGGCAAGCCCGCGUGCGGAAUGAAAGUGAAGGGCAUGCCCUGCCAACCGACCUUGACCUUCUGUGAGGGGUUUGAGUGGAGCACACCUGUCGGGACCCGAAAGAUGGUGAACUAUGCCUGGGUAGGGUGAAGCCAGAGGAAACUCUGGUGGAGGCUCGUAGCGAUACUGACGUGCAAAUCGUUCGUCGAAUCUGGGUAUAGGGGCGAAAGACUAAUCGAACCAUCUAGUAGCUGGUUCCCUCCGAAGUUUCCCUCAGGAUAGCUUGAACGCAACGGUUUUGUCAGGUAAAGCGAAUGAUUAGAGGCCUGUGGGCUGAAACAGCUUGCACCUAUUCUCAAACUUUAAAUGGGCAAGAGGCCCGGGAUGCUUGAGUGAUCCCGGGCGGCGAACGGCGCGUUCAAAGUGGGCCAUUUUUGGUAAGCAGAACUGGCGAUGCGGGAUGAACCGAACGCCGCGCUAAGGUACCCAAGUGUCCGCUCAUCAGAUACCACAAAAGGCGUUGGUACCUCCAGACAGCAGGACGGUGGCCAUGGAAGUCGGAACCCGCUAAGGAGUGUGUAACAACUCACCUGCCGAAGGUACUAGCCCUGAAAAUGGAUGGCGCUCAAGCGGACCACCGAUGCGCGGCCGCCGGCGCGAGCGCGAGGCGCCGGCGAGUAGGAGGGCGCGGGGCUCGCGGCGCAGCCUUGGGCGCGAGCCUGGGUGAAGCGGGCCCCGGUGCAGAUCUUGGUGGUAGUAGCAAAUAUUCAAAUGAGAACUUUGAAGACUGAAGUGGAGAAAGGUUCCGUGUGAACAGCAGUUGGACACGGGUGAGCCGACCCUAAGAGACAGGAAAACUCCGCCGAACGCGGCUGGUUCUGUCAGCCCGUCCGUCGAAAGGGAAUCGGGUUAAUAUUCCCGAGCCAGCGCGUGGAUGGUGGGCGGCGACGCGAACGAACCCGGAGACGCCGGCGGGAGCCCUGGGAAGAGUUCUCUUUUCUUCUUAACUGCCUCCUGCCCUGGAAUCGGUUUAGCCGGAGCGAGGGCUACACGGCAGGCAAAGCACCCUAAGUCUUGGGGUGUCCGGCGCGCUCCCGACGGCCCGUGAAAAUCCGGGGGAGCGGUUCGUUCUCACGCCUGGUCGUACUCAUAACCGCAUCAGGUCUCCAAGGUGAACAGCCUCUAGUCGAUAGAGCAAUGUAGGUAAGGGAAGUCGGCAAAAUGGUUCCGCAACCUCGGGAGAAGGAAUGGCUCUGAAGGCUGGGCGCAGGGGUCCUAGGCUCGAGGCCGGCUGGCUGCGCGGGGACUACGGCCUCACGGCUGCGGAUCCCGCGCGGCCGUCCGGCGGACGGCCUAGGAGCGCUCCGGCUCUCCCUGCGCGACGAACAGCCGCUUCAGAACUGGCGCGGACAAGGGGAAUCCGACUGUUUAAUUAAAACAAAGCAUUGCGAUGGCCCGCGAGGGUGCUGACGCAAUGUGAUUUCUGCCCAGUGCUCUGAAUGUCAAAGUGAAGAAAUUCAACCAAGCGCGGGUAAACGGCGGGAGUAACUAUGACUCUCUUAAGGUAGCCAAAUGCCUCGUCAUCCAAUUAGUGACGCGCAUGAAUGGAUUCGUGAGAUUCCCACUGUCCCUAUCUACUGUCUAGCGAAACCACAGCCAAGGGAACGGGCUUGGAAGAAUCAGCGGGGAAAGAAGACCCUGUUGAGCUUGACUCUAGUCUGUUACUGUGGAACGACUUGAUGGGUGUAGAAUAUGCGGGAGGGGCAACCCGACAGUGAAAUACCGCAACCGUCAACGUUGUUUUACUUACUCGGUGGCGCGGAGGGAGGCUCGCCUCACUUCUGGAUCCAAGCCGCUUCGUGCGCGCGAUCCGCGUCGGGGACACUAACAGGUGGGGAGUUUGGCUGGGGCGGCACGUCUGUUAAAAAAUAACGCAGGCGCCCGAUUUUGAGCUCAAUGAGAACAGAAAUCUCAUGUGGACCGAAAGGGGAAAAGCUCGGUUGAUUUUGAUUUUCAGUACGAAUACAAACCGCGAAAGCGUGGCCUAUCGAUCCUCUCGUCUUUGGGAAUUUCAAGCUAGAGGUGUCAGAAAAGUUACCACAGGGAUAACUGGCUUGUGGCUGCCAAGCGUUCAUAGCGACGUAGCUUUUUGAUCCUUCGAUGUCGGCUCUUCCUAUCACUGCCUCGCAGCGGGGGCCAAAUGCAGGAUUGUUCACCCACCAACAGGGAACGUGAGCUGGGUUUAGACCGUCGUGAGACAGGUUAGUUUUACCCUACUGCUGUCUGUUUUUCUACGGUAAUUUGGUUCAGUACGAGAGGAACCACCAAUUCGCAUCAUCGGUAUAGCCGCCGCCGGAAACGGCGAUGCGGCGAAGCUGCCAUGCGCCGGAUUAUAACUGAACGCCUCUAAGUUAGAAUCCAUGCCGGAAGGAAAGCCACCUACCGGCCCGGGGACGCCACGAGCAACGGUAGCACUGCCUGAGCCGCGAGCGACCACAAUUCACGGACCCGGGCCGACGAAUCCCUUGCAGACGACUUGAAUAAGGAACGGGGUAUUGUACGCGGCAGAGUGGCCUUGUUGCCACGAUCCGCUGAGAUUCAGCCUUGGUUCUGACGAUUUGU
rnacentral:rRNA from 1 species